UACGUAGGCAGCAAGCGUUGUUCGGAGUUACUGGGCGUAAAGAGUGCGUAGGCGGUCCUGUAAGUUUGGUGUGAAAUCUCCCGGCUCAACUGGGAGGGUGCGCCGAAGACUGCAGGGCUUGAGUAUGGGAGAGGUAAGCGGAAUUCCUGGUGUAGCGGUGAAAUGCGUAGAUAUCUGGAGGAAUACCGGUGGCGAAGGCGGCAUCCUGGACCGACAUUGACGCUGAGGAGCGAAAGCUAGGGGAGCAAACGGG
rnacentral:rRNA from 1 species